rnacentral:rRNA from 1 species
UGGCUGUUCGCCAUUUAAAGUGGUACGCGAGCUGGGUUUAGAACGUCGUGAGACAGUUCGGUCCCUAUCUGCCGUGGGCGCUGGAGAAUUGAGGGGGGCUGCUCCUAGUACGAGAGGACCGGAGUGGACGCAUCACUGGUGUUCGGGUUGUCAUGCCAAUGGCACUGCCCGGUAGCUAAAUGCGGAAAAGAUAAGUGCUGAAAGCAUCUAAGCACGAAACUUGCCCCGAGAUGAGUUCUCCCUGACCCUUUAAGGGUCCUGAAGGAACGUUGAAGACGACGACGUUGAUAGGUCGGGUGUGUAAGCGCAGCGAUGCGUUGAGCUAACCGAUACUAAUGAACCGUGAGGCUUAACCUUACAACGCCGAAGCUGUU